AUUAGAUACCCUGGUAGUCCACACAGUAAACGAUGAAUACUCGCUGUUUGCGAUAUACAGUAAGCGGCCAAGCGAAAGCAUUAAGUAUUCCACCUGGGGAGUACGCCGGCAACGGUGAAACUCAAAGGAAUUGACGGGGGCCCGCACAAGCGGAGGAACAUGUGGUUUAAUUCGAUGAUACGCGAGGAACCUUACCCGGGCUUAAAUUGCACCUGAAUAAUGUGGAAACAUGUUAGCCGUAAGGCAGGUGUGAAGGUGCUGCAUGGUUGUCGUCAGCUCGUGCCGUGAGGUGUCGGCUUAAGUGCCAUAACGAGCGCAACCCUUACCUUCAGUUACUAACAGGUCAUGCUGAGGACUCUGGAGAGACUGCCGUCGUAAGAUGUGAGGAAGGUGGGGAUGACGUCAAAUCAGCACGGCCCUUACGUCCGGGGCUACACACGUGUUACAAUGGGAGGUACAGAAGGCCGCUACCUGGCGACAGGAUGCCAAUCCCCAAAACCUCUCUCAGUUCGGAUCGAAGUCUGCAACCCGACUUCGUGAAGCUGGAUUCGCUAGUAAUCGCGCAUCAGCCAUGGCGCGGUGAAUACGUUCCCGGGCCUUGUACACACCGCCCGUCAAGCCAUGAAAGCCGGGGGUACCUGAAGUACGUAACCGCAAGAAGCGUCCUAGGGUAAAACUGGUAAUUGGGGCUAAGUCGUAACAAGGUAAC
rnacentral:rRNA from 1 species